rnacentral:rRNA from 1 species
UACGUAGGGUGCGAGCGUUGUCCGGAAUUAUUGGGCGUAAAGAGCUCGUAGGCGGUCUGUCGCGUCGGUCGUGAAAACUUGGGGCUUAACCCUGAGCUUGCGGUCGAUACGGGCAUGACUGGAGUUCGGCAGGGGAGACUGGAAUUCCUGGUGUAGCGGUGAAAUGCGCAGAUAUCAGGAGGAACACCGGUGGCGAAGGCAGCUCGCUGGAACGUAACUGACGCUGAGACGCGAAAGCGUGGGGAGCAAACAGG